rnacentral:rRNA from 1 species
ACGAACGCUGGCGGCGUGCUUAACACCUGCAAGUCGAACGGAAAGGCCCUGCUUGCAGGGUGCUCGAGUGGCGAACGGGUGAGUAACACGUGGGUGAUCUGCCCCUUACUUUGGGAUAAGCCUGGGAAACUGGGUCUAAUACUGGAUAGGACCAUGCUGUAGGUGGUGUGGUGGAAAGAUUAGUUUCGGUAAGGGAUGAGCUCGCGGCCUAUCAGCUUGUUGGUGGGGUAAUGGCCUACCAAGGCGUCGACGGGUAGCCGGCCUGAGAGGGUGGACGGCCACAUUGGGACUGAGAGACGGCCCAGACUCCUACGGGAGGCAGCAGUGGGGAAUAUUGCACAAUGGGCGCAAGCCUGAUGCAGCGACGCCGCGUGGGGGAUGACGGCCUUCGGGUUAUAAACUCCUUUCAGCCAUGACGAAGCCCUUGUGGUGACGGUAGUGGUAGAAGAAGCACCGGCUAACUACGUG